GUUACUGGUUAGUUCAUUGUUGUUAGUUCCUAAGAAGCAAUGGACAAAGACCCAGAGUCUGUGCUGGGGGCCUUGGAAGGCUCUAAACCCUGAGCAGCAGUUUACAGAAGAGGCGAACAAUAUGGAUAUGGAGACAAUCUCUGUAAGUCUUGCUAUGGAAGAAGGAGUUCUCAUGGGGCAAGAACUACUCCAGUUGUUCCCUUAAUGGGGUAGCCAGGGUAGCCUUCAGAGGAGGUAUCGUUUUCAGUUUUAACGUUAAAAAAAAAAAAAAAAAAAAAAGAAAGAAAAGAAAAAGGAAUCAGACAGGUGUAGCCUGAGUUCUCAGGAAGCUCUGAUAAGCAAGCAAAUGGUCACUGACGACAUCUCAAUGAGGGAGAUAAAGGGGAAAAUGUACUCCAGGGGGGCCUGGCUUGUGGUGCGCUGCGUUAUUGGUCACAGGAGCUGAAGUACAAAGUACAGAGGGUUGACAGAGCUUGGUGGCUUUUCUAGGUCACUGGCUUUGGGAAUGGGGGGCGCUGGGUUUCAAGCCAUCUCUGUGAAAUUCCAGUUGGGAGUGGUAAGGCAAGUUCUGUGAAUCCAAGGGCAAGCCACAGUUGUCAUCUGGAGUCUUGGAGCAGAGCCAACACACCUGCACUGUGAGGGUCCUUCCCACCCCUCCCCUCUCCAGGGAUCACCAGGGACUUCAGAGGAAGUAUUUGUUCUAAUCCUUUCUGGAAAUGGCCUUUGAUAUUUUCUUACUCUGUGUGUGUCUUACUCUGUGUGAUGAUCACCCUAGAAUUGACUUUUUUUUUCCUGUCUCUCUCUCUCUCUUGCCUGGCAAAUGAACUAAUAGCUUAGGAGGGGGAGUGGCUCUUGCCAAAUAAUAGAAAUAUUUCUCUUUCAGUUUAACCGUUGACCCAGCUUGCCAGGAAGCAUGAGACUUGGGAGUGCUCUCCUGUAGGAUCCAAGACUUCUCAUCUUUCCGAUGCGAACUGAAUUAUGCUAGCAUGUCAACCAGGACAUUUCAGAGAAGCAUCGGUGAGCAUAUCUCCUUGUACACAGAGGGAAAAUUCUGAAGUUGCUUAAAUGUGUUGGAAUAAUUUGUUCUCUCUCUAGUAAACGUGUUAGUAAACCUCUUA
rnacentral:lncRNA from 1 species